AGGAGGCCCCAGGGUCAAUGCCUGCAAAAGAAAAGAAAAAAUCUGAUCGGAGGACUCCUGCCUGAAACCCUGCGGCUUUGGCUGGAAGCUGACAUGGCAAACAGGAGAGCAGAACCUGAGGCUAUAGAAAGAAGAGAAGCCUGCAUUCUGGCAGUGCAAACCUCUAGGCAAGGCUGGGCAACUAUUCACAUCCUCUAGAACUUCAGAGAUGCACAUGAUCGGUUUCGGUGGACUCCAAAGAAGGCAAUGUGUUAAAACACAUAUCCAUUUGUCCUCCACUUCCCUGGCCUAAAAAUGUCUCUAAAAUAAAACAAGAAAAAGA